GUUAAAGAAAGGCAUUGAUGCUCUUGCAAUAUUUAUUAGCAAGAAUCAUCAUUAAUUCCCAAGAAUUCUAUCCCAGCCACAACAAUGAAUAAUCUCACCACUAAAUGUGAUAGCCUAAUGGUAAGACGAAUGGGGUGGCAUAGUUUUACCGUCAUAUUUAAUCCCUCACACUAUCAUGAUGGUUAAAUAUUGCCUCUGUUCAGGAGUG
rnacentral:misc_RNA from 1 species